GAAGGUGUAGCUCAAAUGGUAGAGUGCAUGCCUAGCAAGUAUGAGGUUCUGGGUUCAAUCCCCAGUCCCUUCU
rnacentral:tRNA from 1 species